UUGUCUUUUCAUUCCUAGUAAUUUCAUUCCCAGUUAAUUAAUUCCCAUACGUACAUUUCAUUCCAACUUUGAAGUGAGCUAUUUAGUGACGUAAUACGGCUUAUGUUUCUACACGAGUUAGUAGUUUUUGUCUAGGGUUGUAGAGGGAGGGCUUAGCAGUGAGCUAUCGGCACUGGAGAUGAGUGAUGAUUAGUGGUGGAUAGGAGACGGAUACGAAUGAAUUAUGGUAUUUAUGAAUUAGAAAUAACGUCAUGAUAAAUCUCUUUAAUAGUGACUAGAAAUGGAAUCUCAAUCUGUUAAUAUUAUGUAUACCUUGGGAAAUACAAGUAAAUCCAGGCAUUGCUCCUACUCCUUCUCAUCCAUUGACAAUCAUCAAUUUCAUCAUCCUCUUUUCUCUUCCCUUUCGUCUUUUCACAAAUCAAAUCUACGUAAACAAUAACUAUAAGCAAAUUGCUCGGGCCCCUAAAUCACUUCUCCAGGUGCACUUACUCUCCCCUGAUUCAAGCUCAAUUCUGGAUUGAAUCCUACAAGUUACAACAAUCCUCAUCAUGCUGAGAUUUUUAAUAAAUAUAUCAUUCAUCCCCUUCACAUUCAAUCACAAUUUUUCAAACUUCAAAAAGUAGGUUUCAAAGUAUUUUGAAGGAAUCACGGAAUACUAAUAAUAUGGUCCGUUGCAAAGAAUCUUUGACAUUCAUAUGCAAUCAAUUUCUUCAUCAAGAGGUCAUGAAAAGGAUUGUACUAAAGUUAUAGAACUAGAUCAAGAUGGGGACCUCGUCCAUUAAAGUCUGCAUGAUUUUCUGAAUAUGAUAUAUAAUAUUAAAUAUAUCUAAAUAUUCUAUUAACUUAUCACAAUCAUAAAUUGGGAUGUGCUCACUUCGACCCUUCACUUGUGCUUCCCUCACUGUGCCUCAGGAAACAACACUUUUCUUUGUAGCAAAUAACCAUCUUCAUAUUACGGGGAGGAUUUUGUAUCCUAACGAAUGGAUAUAAAAACAUGGUUCCAAGACCCUUCCGAAAUAAAACAUGAGUUUUAUGGUGGAUAAAUACAAGAACUCGAUUGAUCUGUUGAGUUGUCGAGCUUUGAAGAUUGAAUAGGAAUAGGAGAUCUUCAAUGUUUGAGUCAAAUUCAAACUCAGAAAGUUCAUGACUUGAAUGAAACAUUGAAUCAUUGAAUCAGUUCACUAAAAAUAUUCGUACCCUGAAUCAGUUCUAAAAUCUCCAAUAAAAAUACUUUGCUACCAUUUUUCGGAAUGAUUCUAACUGAUUUUUUUAAAAACCUAUAUCGAAUCAAUAUAGUAACGUAUUAUAUAUAAAAUUAUUCAAUAUAUACAAAAUAUAAAUUUUAAAAAUA
rnacentral:lncRNA from 1 species